ACGAACGCUGGCGGCACGCCUAACACAUGCAAGUCGAACGCUCGGGGGCAACUCCGGGAGUGGCGGACGGGUGAGUAACGCGUGGGGACCUGCCCAGGGGUGCGGGACAACACCGGGAAACCGGUGCUAAUACCGCAUGAUGCCGAGAGGCUAAAGAUUUAUCGCCUUUGGAGGGGCCCGCGUCGGAUUAGGUAGUUGGUGGGGUAACGGCCUACCAAGCCAUCGAUCCGUAGCUGGUCUGAGAGGAUGGCCAGCCACACUGGGAUUGAGACACGGCCCAGACUCCUACGGGAGGCAGCAGUGGGGAAUCUUGGACAAUGGGGGCAACCCUGAUCCAGCGAUGCCGCGUGGGUGAUGAAGGCCUUCGGGUUGUAAAGCCCUUUCGGCGGGACGAUAGUGACGGUACCCGCAGAAGAAGCCUCGGCUAACUCCGUGCCAGCCGCCGCGGUAA
rnacentral:rRNA from 1 species